rnacentral:lncRNA from 1 species
CUUCACUUAGUUAUUCCCUCAAUCAUUGAUUCUUGCAUUAUUUAAUUCAGUAAUUCAACAGAUAUUUACAUGUGUAAAUAGUUCGUUAACCCUUCUCGCAGAGAUAUGUAUGGGGCCCCCAGCUUAAGUUCUCUUGGAAGGUUUACCUAUCCUGUUCAUUCAUUUGUUCAUUUAAUAACAUUUUUACCCUCUGGGGUUUGCACCCUCCUACACAGCUCUUUAGAAGAACUCAAAUUCUUUGCCUGGAAUGUCUGGUGUACAGCUGGGAUGAUUCAUGGCUGCUUAGGAGACACUUAAGCUGGAGGCUUUUUCCAGAGCCAGGCAGAAGGUUUGCCUCACAGGGUCCUCCAGAAGGAUGGGUGUCUCUUUGCUUUGGAAGAGAUACACUAGGAAAAAAGGGCAAUGUUUCCUGCCUUAAAAGCCUCUCUCUAGAUAUUUUGUAGGUCACGGCUAUAUAUCUGUGAAAGCAUGAAGCAGGAGAAGCAGAGUCAUUGUGUCACUGAGUUAGCUUUACCAUUGUUAAUCACCCACCCUUAUUAUUGUCCACCUCAUGUUAUCAAAUCCUACUUCCCUAUUAUUUUCCUGGUACUCAAUUCUUUGGACUUCAGCUCACAUUUGCCUCUCCCAGGAAACUCCCUGAUUAUGGCAGAUUGAUUAUGUAUGGCCCUUCUGAGCAUCACCAUCCUUUAGUAUUUGUCUGCAUAUUUCAUGGAGACUUCAUAGGUCAUAGAGGACAUAUUGUCUCUCUCUGUCUAGACUUUGGUCUCCUUGGAGAGCAAACAUUAAGUGCUGUCCCUCUUUUUCUAUUCUUGAACAGUGGACACAUUGUUCCAUGGCACUACUGACCCGAUGAUACUUCAGUGGGGCAGGCUGAUGGAAACUGUAUUGGACAUGGAGCUUUCAGUAGGAAGGAUCAACCCAUUGCCUGUAUCAUCCCCACUUAAGCCACCAUAUAGUUUCCAGAAGCUGCUUUUGCACAUGUGCAGCCUGGCACAGGGCCAUGCCCACAGAAGUGCUCAUGCAAUAUCAGCUUGCAGUGUGCUCAUCUAUCCCAUUUUUACAACUUUAAUCUAUUAUUAUCAACUCUAUCAACACCUGGGCAAGUUUUCUUCCUUAAAAUCCAGGCAGAUGAUUAAUUAA